AUGUAGGCCGACAGAUGUAGCUCCAAUUUGACCCCUAGCCUGGAAACUUCCAUAUGCCAUGGGUGUGGCCUUAAAAAGCAAAAAAAAUAAAUAAAUACUGCCCUGAAAAAGCUGGUUAAGACAGGUGGAUACAUUUGACUGAUGAGACCAUUUAAAGUCUGGAAAAAAACAAGUAUAAUUUGGGGGUUCUUCACUAAUGGCUAAAAGCCUUGCCAGGUGUAUCAACUGGCCAGACAUUUGAAGUGUAGUCACAUUGGCCCUUUGUUCCAUCCUCUCUCUGACCUUCCAAACAAAGCAGGACUGCCUAUCAUCUUCACGACCCCGUUUUAGGGGAGAAUAAGGGAAAAUUACCAUCCCGCCCCUUGCUGCACGUCGUCACCAGGGAAUCGUGACUUAGAUCUGCUGUAAAAGCAAACCUCAGGCUGGAUGAAUCAGAGGUGGGUGGCCUGCUGCCUUCUCGGAGAGAAACAGCCCCAGUGAGGGUGCUUUGAAAUCAGGGGGAAAGAAUCCUCCACACGUGUCUCAAUUUUCACCAUUUGCAUCUGACCACAAGAAGAAACCCCCGACAAUCUGUUUUCUUUUAAUAUUUUUUUUGUGGGCCCUUUGACAUGUAAUAUGGUUUAUUAUUCUAUUUCUUUUUCUGGUGUGUCUAAAAUUACUAAAGCCAUAAAAGAUUGUUAUUUUGAAACUUCAAACAGUGCAGAAAUGGGUCAAGUUACGGGGGCAGGUCUUCCUACCUCCCUCUAAUUCCACUUCCCACGAUGAACCACGUGAUUGCUUUGGCUCCAUCCCCACCAGAUCUUGCUAGACAUUUAACACACAUGUAGAGUGUUUACACAUGAGAGUAUGCUACAAGUAUGUCAGAUGAUUCUGCUUUAUUUGUUUUCAUUGAAUAUCAGGACCAGGAUGAGGGCGGGUUGAGGGAGGCAGCCUGGCCACAGAAUGUAAGGAGGCGCCCACUCCCAGGUACACACUAUUGCAGGAUCAGCACUGCUACAAAUCCGGGGGUAAAUGCCUCUUAAAUUUUGUGCCCCAGGCACCUCACUCCUAAAGAGACACUUACAGGGUCCUGCAGAUGGGCCCUAGACUGGCUUCUUCCUCCUUGACUGUUAUAUCUUAGAUAUCUUUGUCUGUUCAAAUAGGUCUGCCUCACUUCUUUUCACAGUGUGGUUGAAAUUUAAAGGGGAACUAUUUCCUCAAUUUCAUUUCUAGCUACCCAGUGAGUAUACAACAGGAACAAAACUACUUGGGUAUAACUUUUGGAGAUGUCUUGCCUCCACUACCUUCUAGAAACUUCUAUGCCGGUGUUGUCUCCCUUCUCAGCCCUUUCCUUGAGCAGCCCUAUUAACGAGUUGAGAGGCUGAGGGUGAGAAACCGUGAGAGGCCAAGUAGAUUUACAUUGGGAAAGGCUCAGGAGUUCCUGUUGUGACUCAGUGGGUUAAGAACCCAAUGAAUAUCCAUGAAGAUGUGGGUUUGAUCCCUGGCUUCACAUGGUGGGUUGCUGUGAGCUGAGCGUAGGUCACAGAGGAGGCUCAGAUCUGGCAUGGCUGUGGCGGUGGCUACGGCUCUGAUUUGACCUCCAUAUGCCACAGGUGCAGCCCUGAAAAAGACCAAAAAAAAAAAAAAAAGGCUCAAAGUUACUUGGGAAAAGGGGGCAAGAGAGAGUCUUCAGGAGGAGGCAGGAAAAGGGCAGUUGGUGAGAGCAGCUGCCUCUGUGAGUGAGACUUUGGGAAAAGAAAUGCCUACAGAGGAAAUUUAGCAUGGGAGACGCACAUGUGCUCCAAUCUUUGCUACCCUUUCACAUCCUUUUGGAAGAGCCUUACAUCACUCCUCCAGGUUUCCUGGAGUUGAGUUCGUGUUGUUUGGGGUGCAUCAUGGCCUCAAGGUCAGUUGGCCAUAACUGGCUUACAUGUAUCUCCUGGGUGAAGGUGAAGUGGGAUCACUGGAAGCUGGAAAAACAUUACUCAUUUCUCAAAGAAUCAGCUUUCCUCCCUACUGACUCCUAAUAGGGAGUCAUGAAGAUACAAGCUCACAGACUACUUUGAGAAGUUCUAAGAAGUUCCGAAACUACUCAGAAUAAUGCAGGGAAACAAAUGUAUACCCAACUUUGCCAGCAGUAUUCAGGGGGUCCUUGAAGCCCAGAGGUCCAACCAGAGACCCUCUGUCAAGAAUGCAGAGGAAGUGUCUGCCUAAUGCUGCAAAUCAAAUCAUCCUGACAUUUUGCCCAAUCAGUGAGCCUCACAGUCUCCCAGAGUACCUGGUAGAGGCAGAUAGGAACUUGAAACCUGAGUAUUCUGGUGCUUUGGUCUCUCCAGCUUGACAACAGAAAGAAUAUUUGGGAGUUUGGCAGAAGCGUCUGACCUAGAAAUCUUACAAUGGGAGUUUGUCUCUGAAAUCCCAGUGGAGACCAUUAGUGGAGUGAUUUGUAGCCCCCUUGCUUGGCUAGGUGUGCCAAGAGCUGUUGUAUUUUUAGGAGGCAGCCAUCUAGGAGUGAAAAGGGAGCAGGCAAGUAUAUUCUAAGCACCACUGAGGAGUCUCAGGUGGAAGAUGAAGAAAAAGGAGAAUGUAAAUUUUUAGUGACUGGGCAAAGCCUGGAAGAAUGCAGGUGAAGACCAGCCUUGAAAAGAAAUACCAGGAGACUGGUUAGUGGGGGAAACCCACUUCUUUUUCUUCUCCUCCUCUUUCCCCUCCUUUAAAAGCUAUUCUAACAUCACAAGGGAUAGGAGAGGACCGUUCCCCUUUCUGACCUUGAGUGAGAGUGAUUGCGAGAGAAUCAUGGGUCAUCUUGGCCUGACUUCCCCUCAAAGCAAGCCCUAAGACAAGAACCUUAUUGCAAGUAGUUUCUUUUGGGGAACUCAAGGAAAUGCUGGAAGGAGGAUGGAGAAGUGGGCCAGGGAAAGGAAGGCAGCCUCUCAAAGUGUGUGCUGUGGGGUGCAGUUUCACUGUGGGCUUAAUGCCACUGGACAUCUCAGAGCAUCAGUAGAGAACAUGCCUUCAGAGAUAGCACCAUGUAAGCACCUGGGUGUUUAUUCAUUACAUCUGGAGAGCCAUUGAUUAGGGACUGAUCCUGGAGCAUGUUAAUUCCCUGGCAAUUUCAGUCUGCUCCAUGCUUGGGCAGGAUAGGCUCCCAGUAGUCAGAGAAAGCCUUCAGGCAAAGAGAUUCAGGUGCUGGCAAUUGGGAAUCAUGUUUGCGUGUACUAAAAUAAUAACAGCUGAAGGGAUCCACGGGGCACCGCAGCUUCUACUCAAUUUGUUAUCAUUAGCAGAGCCUUUAAGGAGCAGAGCGUAGCCUGAUGGUCCCUCGAUGCUUGCUUGCCGAGCAGCCAAAGCCAACAGGCCCUCCUGGUGGAGCCAGCCAGUGGAGAAGAGCUGAGGGUUGUUGCAAGAGCUCAGAAGCUGGGCUGUGAACUUGAACAAGGAGCCUUGUGCCUGUUUCUGAUCUAGAGAUACCCCAUGACAGCAGAGCUUGAAGGGGCCAUGGCGUGGUUCAGUUGGAAUAAAAUGAGACAACUUCAGGACAAACUCCACUGCAGUUGGCAGUUGCAGACACCAGCACUUCCUACAGUUGUGCAUGAAAAAGCAUGGAGGUUGGAGUAUAAGAAGGAGUUGUAGGGUUUGCCUUGGAGGCCAUGGGUCACACAGUGGAAUGUCCAACAUGGAAAAGUAGCUGUCGGCUGAAAUUGCUGUUGAUGCCAAAGGGAGACAUGGCCACUCCUCUGGGAGAAAUCUUCCUCAUUGGAGAGAGACUGGGGAAAGCUCAGUACAACCACCUGUGUGGUGGUUGCCAUGGCAAUAGGGAUGCGCAGUGUCACACGGAGCCCCAGGGAACCAGGAAUGCCAGGAAACUUCACCAGCACUGACAGCAGACAUUCAGAAACUUCAAGAAUUAAAAGCAAAGGAAGGAGACGGAUAGGAAGAAGUCAAUUUUGCAAUGACACCUCCCAACAGGCUGCAAAUUCUUGAUAAAUUUAUGAACAGUUGCAAAUGUUUAGCAACAGUGUUGCCAAGACUGUCCUUGGAGAAAAGAUUCCAGAUGAGAAGGAUAUUUUUCAGCAAACUCUCUUGUCUGCAGGCUCAGGGAGAUCUGGCAGGGGCUGACAGCCAUGAAGCCCAACACAUAGGAAGCACCCACUGGCUUCUUCAAGCUUCUCACAAAAUGUGAUGCACGAUGCUUUCAUUCACAAUUACAGCAAAUAAAAGCAACAUGAUAAAAGAAUAGCAUUGGGAGGCCAUGUGCAUAACAUUAAUGAACAUGUUGCAAAUCUGUCUUUUGGUGAGCCUGACAGGCGAAGGCGGAGUUUGCUGGUUUGAGGUGUCACCACCCUGAGCUUGCCAGGGAUUCGGGGAGGGGUAUUAGAAUGAUAUUAUGGAAUAAUAGCUAAUUUUUUGAGGGCUUCCUCUAUGCCAGGCUCUGUGCUCUUUGCAGGCAAUACCAAUGAAAUGAGUUGUAUUAAUCCAAUUUUGUGCUGAACAAACUGAGGUUGGAAACAGGAGAAUUGAUAAAGGCUAAUAAACAGUUAACUCAUGCCUGAA